UCCAGGGUAGCCUAGUGGACAUGGCAUCUGCCCGGUAAGCGUAACAUUGUGGGUUCGAUUCCCAUCCCUGGAA
rnacentral:tRNA from 1 species